rfam:Ictidomys tridecemlineatus contig054373, whole genome shotgun sequence.
AUGUGAGGGCGACCUGGCUACCACAUCUGUCUUUCUUAUCAAGGCAGUCAGGAUCCCUCACUAAUCACCAGAGUUGGUUCUGCUGAUCUAACUGGCUAGGAUCCCCUUCCUCCCUCACAGCUCGAUGUGCAUAGCUUCCGAAACUGCACUGGGCCAAAGAACAGCCUUUCCCAAUAGAAGACAACCUUUCUUUAGUCAAGGGUAUUAUGUGUAGCUAUGCUUCCCUGCUAGAACCUCCAAUCAAGCUCUCUAGGGCCAAAGUCUAACCACUACUAAGAGGUGGAGCUCAGUGUCCCAUGGAGCCAUCACGGUUCCAAAG